rnacentral:rRNA from 1 species
GUGUUGGUUCGUAAGAAUCAUCUGUUUCUUUGUCUAAAAAACAGAGAGAGUAAGAGCUGGGUAAGACGGGUGCCAGCCGCCGCGGUAAUACCUGCAGCUCAAGUGGUGGCCGCUAUUAUUGGGCCUAAAACGUCCGUAGCCGGUUUAGUAAAUGCUUGGGUAAAUUGUGUAGCUCAACUAUACGAAUACCGAGUAGACUGCUGAACUUGGGACCGGGAGAGGCUAGAGGUACUCCUAGGGUAGAGGUGAAAUUCUGUAAUCCUAGGGGGACCACCAGUGGCGAAGGCGUCUAGCCAGAACGGGUCUGACGGUGAGGGACGAAGCCCUGGGGCGCAAACCGGAUUAGAUACCCGGGUAGUCCAGGGUGUAAACGCUGCUCGCUUGAUGUUAGUUGGGCUCCGAGCCCAACUAGUGUCGGAGAGAAGUUGUUAAGCGAGCUGCCUGGGAAGUACGGUCGCAAGGCUGAAACUUAAAGGAAUUGGCG